UACGUAGGGUGCAAGCGUUAAUCGGAAUUACUGGGCGUAAAGCGUGCGCAGGCGGUUCGUUGUGUCGGCGGUGAAAGCCCCGGGCUCAACCUGGGAAUGGCAUUGGAAACUGGCUUGCUGGAGUGGUGGCAGAGGGGGGUGGAAUUCCGCGUGUAGCAGUGAAAUGCGUAGAGAUGCGGAGGAACACCGAUGGCGAAGGCAGCCCCCUGGGCCAACACUGACGCUCAGGCACGAAAGCGUGGGGAGCAAACAGG
rnacentral:rRNA from 1 species